rnacentral:misc_RNA from 1 species
GGAAGGAUCAUUAAUAUGUCCCAUUCAUUUAAAUACGUACGAACUUGUUGGUGGGAUUGCAGCUUCCCUGGGUAUGAUCUUUAAUUUGAGAUUAAACCCAGAGUCGCUCUCCUGCUGAUUUUUACCCAAUUUUAAACCUCAAUUUAAUUGUAGACUAAACUUAAAACCAAUACUACCGUAAACUAUAUCACAACUUUUAGCAACGGAUAUCUUGGUUCUCGCAACGAUGAAGAACGCAGCGAAAUGCGAUACGUAGUGCGAAUUGCAGAAUUCAGUGAAUCAUCGAAUCUUUGAACGCAAAUUGCGCUUUUGGGUACCACCUGAAAGCAUGCCUCUUUGAGUAUCGGUUCCAAUCAUUCGCCAGUGCGUGCGUAUGUAAAUACGCAUGGUACUGUGAUGUUAUGAGUUUGUCAAAAGUCUCCUCGGAGAGUUUUGUCACUUGAAGUGUACGGUGAUCGUAGCAUCUUCCAAAACAAAGAUUGUUCAUGUAACAGCCUUUAUUUUUGGGGGGUGAUCAAAACUGCGGUCCUAGGAUCGUUCGGUUCGAAUCGAAUCGGAUCGAUCAUCAUUUUAUAAAUCUGAUCUCAAAUGAGGUAAGAGGACCCGCUGAAUUUAAGCAUAUUAAUAAGCGGAGGAAAAGAAACUAACAAGGAUUCCCCUAGUAACGGCGAGUGAAGCGGGAGGAGCUCAAACUGAAAAUUGGAGAUUCUUGGAGUCUCCGAAUUGUAGUCUAGAGAACUGGUGGCAGCGUGUGGCCUGGGCCUAAGUCCUUUGGAACAGGGCGUCAGAGAGGGUGAGAACCCCGUCUAUGGCUUGGAGACCGCCGCGUACGACGCUAGCUUCUACGAGUCGGGUUGUUUGGGAAUGCAGCCCAAAAUGGGUGGUAAAUUCCAUCUAAAGCUAAAUACAUGCGAGAGACCGAUAGCGAACAAGUACCGUGAGGGAAAGAUGAAAAGAACUUUGAAAAGAGAGUUAAAAAGUGCUUGAAAUUGCUAAAAGCAAAGCAAUGGAAACCAGUAGCCGCAUACGUUCAUUUUCCUGCCUUGCUGAUGAACGCCACGUUGCAGAAGAGUUAUUAUGACCUUCUCGAUGUGGCAGUAGUCAGUGGGGCAGUCCCUAUGGGCGUGUGCAUGUCAGAUCUGCUUUGGAGUGCAGGAUACUACUCCUAGAGGAAGGUAGCAGGAAUCCACCUUGCGUGGUGCACUGUGUUAUUAUGCCUCUGGGUCAGUGCUGUGUUCUGGAGUGGUGAGCCUCAUCUCUCGAUAGGUGAGCUCCACUGGUAGCAAGGAAUUUAAGUCCUGUGUUUUGCUCUAAGAAGGGACAACAAAGUUGUGCCUUCCCUGAACAAAGUUCACGGUUUUUAUUCUGAGUUAUUGUGCCCUGACGUAAAUGGUUUUCACUGACCCGUCUUGAAACACGGACCAAGGAGUCUGACAUAUAUGCGAGUAUUUGGGUGCUUUAAACCCUGAUGCGUAAUGAAAGUAAAGGCAGGCAGUAGUCUGCUGAGGUGGGAAUCUUGCUUCUCCGGAGGUGGGUAUUGCACCAUCGACCGAUCUUUCACUUGUGGAGGAUUUGAGUAAGAGCAUAUCUGUCGGGACCCGAAAGAUGGUGAACUAUGCCUGGACAGGGCGAAGCCAGGGGAAACUCUGGUGGAGGCUCGUAGCGAUACUGACGUGCAAAUCGUUCGUCUGAUCUGGGUAUAGGGGCGAAAGACUAAUCGAACCAUCUAGUAGCUGGUUCCCUC